rnacentral:rRNA from 1 species
GGACCCGCACAAGUAGUGGAGCAUGUGGUUUAAUUCGAAGAUACGCGCAGAACCUUACCAACACUUGACAUGUUCGUCGCGACUUUAAGAGAUUAAAGUUUUCGGUUCGGCCGGACGAAACACAGGUGCUGCAUGGCUGUCGUCAGCUCGUGUCGUGAGAUGUUGGGUUAAGUCCCGCAACGAGCGCAACCCUCACUUUUAGUUGCCAUCAUUUAGUUGGGCACUCUGAAAGAACUGCCAGUGAUAAGCUGGAGGAAGGUGGGGAUGACGUCAAGUCCUCAUGGCCCUUACGUGUUGGGCUACACACGUGCUACAAUGGUAUUUACAACAGGAAGCAAGACGGCGACGUUAAGCAAAUCCCUAAAAGAUACCUCAGUUCGGAUUGCACUCUGCAACUCGACUCCAUG